ACCUCGCCUCUGCCAGCGGAGGCGAUGUGUGUAUUCGUGUGGUGGGCGUUUAACGUCGUGAUCCUAUCGUUAGGGAGAUCAUUUAAGUACGAUCAUUUAAGACGUGCAUGUCUUUGUCGUGUCUGUAGUUUUCCUCUACUUAUGUAUUUGCAAGCCUCUCCUAUAAGAGGGUUUUGGUGAAUGCGCGCCUUUUCAAAAUACGCCGUAGGGAAUAUUUUGAGAUGCUUAGCGAUCGAAUCGAUCCUGAGGUCGCAAUGCAAGUCGACAUUACGCACGUACUACGGCGAGUGCGUAGCGUUUACCAGAAGAAAUGUAUAUUCAAAAUGGGUAAAUAAAACAGCAUAUACUUACAUCAAGACAUAUAUUUAAAAAAAAAACUGUCAAAAGGCACUUACACGGACGGAAUAAUGGAGCAAACGAUUUACAUUUUCAGUACAAAUAAUAAGUAGUUAUUGCCUAGAAUUGCUUACAGUCCAAUGUUUCUAUAAAAUUAUAUAAACGGAAUGACGACAUAUAACAUAAAUAAAAAAUGGACGACUUAUCACAGUAUUAAACAGACAAAUAAACAUGUAUAAAUCCAAAAAA